CGCAACAAUUCCUUCGAGAGGAGUUUCGUCGCGUUGCAGCAAAGAACGAUGUAAAGUACUGCGUCACAGCUGACCGCUUUCCGCUGGACUCACGUGCCUUGUGGAGUCGUGAUGGGAUCCACCUGAGUGACGAUCUGGGGAUGCCGCUUCUCGCGAAGCUUCUGUGGCACUUCUCCUUUCGGCAGCUACAGUCACCUCUGCCUGUUACACCUCCGCCUGUGUCUCCUCCCAAGUCACCCCCGACUGUGAGACCCUUUGCUACCACCGUGGUUGUGAAGGGAGAGGUUUCACGUCCACGUCCCCUUGACCCCUUCAAGGAAACUGUCGUCGGACGUCGCGGAAAGGUAAAAGUUAUACAAUUUUGAAGAGCUUUAGUUUUAGUUAGGCCACAUUUAUUGAAUACUAAUUCUCCCUAUGUGUUUAUAGCGCAGCCAACCUGAGUCCUGGGAUGCGCCUGAGGACUGGGAUCAGUCUUCCGUGCGGAUCCUUCCUCAUGAGGUUUGUAC
ensembl:lncRNA